GGACUACACGGGUAUCUAAUCCCGUUUGCUCCCCUAGCUUUCGCGCCUCAGCGUCAGUAUUGGGCCAGAUGAGCGCCUUCGCCACCGGUGUUCCUCCUGAUAUCUACGCAUUUCACCGCUACACCAGGAAUUCCCUCAUCCUCUCCCAUACUCAAGUCAGGCAGUUUGGGAUGCAGAUCCUCGGGUGAGCCGAGGCAUUUCACAUCCCACUUACCCAACCGCCUACACGCCCUUUACGCCCAGUGAUUCCGAACAACGCUUGCUCCCCCCGUGUUACCGCGGCGGCUGGCAC
rnacentral:rRNA from 1 species